UGAGGAAUAUUGCGCAAUGGCCGAAAGGCUGACGCAGCGACGCCGCGUGAGGGAUGAAGUCCGUUAGGAUGUAAACCUCUUUUGCAGGGGAUGAAUGUCCCGUUUGACGGGAUUGACAGUACCCUGCGAAUAAGGAUCGGCUAACUACGUGCCAGCAGCCGCGGUAAUACGUAGGAUCCGAGCGUUGUCCGGAAUUACUGGGUGUAAAGGGCGUGUAGGUGGGUUCCUAAGUCGAUGGUGAAAUCCUGCAGCUUAACUGCAGAACUGCCUUCGAUACUGGGGAUCUUGAGUGCGGCAGAGGGAGAUGGAAUUCAUGGUGUAGCGGUGAAAUGUGUAGAUAUCAUGAAGAACACCGGUAGCGAAGGCGGUCUCCUGGUCCGCAACUGACACUGAGGCGCGA
rnacentral:rRNA from 1 species